AGCAGCCGCGGUAAUUCCAGCUCCAAUAGCGUAUAUUAAAGUUGUUGCAGUUAAAAAGCUCGUAGUUGAAUUUCGGGAUUGACACAUCGGUCGUGCCUUAAGGGGUAUGAACUGGUGUAGUCAAUUUCUCGCCUUCUGGAGAACCGCGAUGCCCUUAAUUGGGUGUCGCGGGGAACCAGGACCUUUACUUUGAAAAAUUAGAGUGUUUAAAGCAGGCAUUUUGCUUGAAUACAUUAGCAUGGAAUAAUAAAAUAGGACGGAUGAUUCUAUUUUGUUGGUUUCUAGGACCACCGUAAUGAUUAAUAGGGAUAGUUGGGGGCAUUAGUAUUCAAUUGUCAGAGGUGAAAUUCUUGGAUUUAUUGAAGACUAACUACUGCGAAAGCAUUUGCCAAGGAUGUUUUCAUUAAUCAAGAACGAAAGUUAGGGGAUCGAAGACGAAUCAGAUACCGUCGUAGUCUUAACCAUAAACUAUAGCCGACUAGGAAUCAGACGAUGUAAUUUUUAAUGACUCGUUUGGCAC
rnacentral:rRNA from 1 species